GAGAGAGGUCUGGGACACGAAGAUCUGCUAAUUCUUCUUAUCAUGGUUCGAGCC
rnacentral:tRNA from 1 species